AGAGUUUGAUCAUGGCUCAGGAUGAACGCUGGCGGCGUGCCUAACACAUGCAAGUCGAACGCUCCGCAAGGGGAGUGGCGCACGGGUGAGGAACACGUAGCUGAUGUGCCUUCGAGACCGGAAUAACGUUCCGAAAGGGAUGCUAAGACCGGAUAAGCUCCCGGUGGUUAGAGGACUGGGAGAAAAGAUUUAUCGCUCGAAGAGCAGGCUGCGGCCUAUCAGGUAGUUGGUGGGGUAACAGCCCACCAAGCCGACGACGGGUAAGGGGUCUGAGAGGAUGACCCCUCACACUGGGACUGAGACACGGCCCAGACUCCUACGGGAGGCAGCAGUGAGGGAUAUUGCACAAUGGGGGCAACCCUGAUGCAGCGACGCCGCGUGGGUGAUGACGGUCUUCGGAUUGUAAAGCCCUUUUAGGCAUGACGAGAACGGACGGUAGUGCCUGAAGAAGUCUCGGCUAACUACGUGCCAGCAGCCGCGGUAAUAC
rnacentral:rRNA from 1 species